GACGAACUGUCCUAACGUUGUUCGGAAUCACUGGGCUUAAAGGGCGCGUAGGCGGUCCGACAAGUCAGGGGUGAAAUCCUACAGCUUAACUGCAGAAGUGCCUUUGAUACUGUCGGUCUUGAGGGAGAUAGGGGUGUGCGGAACUCACAGUGGAGCGGUGAAAUGCGUUGAUAUUGUGAGGAACGCCGGAGGCGAAAGCGGCGCACUGGAUCUCUUCUGACGCUGAGGCGCGAAAGCUAGGGGAGCAAACGGG
rnacentral:rRNA from 1 species